rnacentral:rRNA from 1 species
UACGGGGGGUGCGAGCGUUGUUCGGAAUUACUGGGCGUAAAGCGCGUGUAGGCGGCCUAUUAUGUCAGGUGUGAAAGCCCUCGGCCUAACCGAGGAAGGGCGCCUGAAACUGCUAGGCUUGAGUACGAGAGAGGAGGGCGGAAUUCCCAGUGUAGAGGUGAAAUGCGUAGAUAUUGGGAGGAACACCGGCGGCGAAAGCGGUUCUCUGGACGGAUACUGACGCUAAGACGCGAAAGCGUGGGGAGCAAACAGG